UGUAUUGUCUUACCCACAAUUCAUUUAUUUACAAAGUUAUUAAAACUCAUAAUUAAUUAGACUUCUCAUGAGGUCUAAUUCCCUUCUGUGCUUUCUGGUGCAUGACUAUAAAAUUUAGCAGGGGGAACAAUUUGCAUUGCAUCUCUCCCCUGGAGGUCCUUGUCAUCAUUUGAUCAUGGAUUCAACCUAUUCUGUUGUUUUCCCUUUACACCCUUCAGCUUUGAUUCCUGGUUGCACAGUGACACAGCUUCACACAGAGGCAGGAAAAAAUUUCUGGCCUAAAAGAAUUUAGCUUGUGAUUACAGCAGUUCUGUGGAAAGAAUGAGCUGGUGUCAGCCAUCAGCAAGGCUUCUUGGGGGCUGGAAUCUAGCCUACCCAUUUCAGUGCUGCACCUUCUGACAGCGGGUUCUGGCAGGAGAGUUAGAGAGCGUACAGAGCAGAUCCUCUGUUUGAGAAAAAGUCUGUGCAGCUGGUAGCAACUGAGGUGACAAGAGGUGACCAUUGGAAUGCCCCAAGAAGACAUGCUGCAUCAUCAGAUCAGUGCAGUCAGUAACCCAGUCCUACAAGAGACAGGGAAGAAAAGGUCUAAAUGAAUUGAUGAUACAGUUUGGGUGUUUUAUGUGGGACUUGGGCACUUGUGCUGUUGGGAUCUCAACUUCAAGAAGUUCAAGUAUUCUUCUUUCCUCCUCACAGAUCACUAACAAGUACUACAUGACUUGCCACUUUAAAAUAAUUUGUCUUACCUUUUCUUAAGAAAGGCAUUAUUCUGUGUAAAUAUUCUCACCUUUUUGCUUACCUGCCUGGCUGGGUAAAAAAAAAAAAAAAAAAGUAUGUUCUCACAGGACAGGUAUUUUACUUAACAAAAGAAUUAAUCUAGUAAAAUAUAUUAGGAAAAAUGAAGAACUUACUUACAGUAUUAUAUAAUGAAUUUGCAUCUUCUUACCACAUUCAGUUUUCUUCCAGUCCAGUGCUUUUUUUUUUCCUGUACACUCUUCCUGUAGAGUGAACAUAAAGUUAAUUUAAUUAAUGUUCUCAUCCCUGAUUAAUCUGAUUAAUACAAAACACACACAGAUAUGCAACAAAAUGAGCUUCAUGCUUUCAGAAAUCAUUGAAUUGAGGCAUAUAUAUUCUAAGGCUUUGUGAUGUGCACUGGUAAAUGGAGGAUAAUGCAUCUGGAUAAGCAAAUUAAGGCCAAAUGCAGACCUGGUCUAGCAUGCUGAUUCACAAGGUGAUCAUGUUCUCUACCAAAUAAUGUAUUUAAAACCUAUUCCUAAUUAUGAAUCUACUGAGUUUUAAAAUCAAGUGUUUCCAGCUGUCUUUUUCUUAUGAAGGAGGUGGCAAAGGAUCUAGACUAUUGAAGACUGAAGGGAGGAGCGUAAAGAGAAGAUGUAAGGAUUUCUAAGUCUUUCAGAGGAAAAUACAAAGGACUAUGUUCCUAAACUUACCUCAAAAUGUAUGGGUGAGGGGAAAGUCCUGCAGAAAAGUGGACAAGGACUUCUGUUUCUCUGUUUGUACAUGUGUGGUGUAUGUCCACACACAAUUGUGUGGAUGUAGCAUGGGGAGGGAUGGGAAGUAGUAGAUUGAGAGAGGUAAGUGAGAGAAAUAGGAAAGUGAGAGAAAUAUAUCUGGAAUGAGACUUGGACAAGGAAAGGGAGAAUGAGAUUCAAGAGAAGAGGGGACAAAGAAGGUGCAGGAAAGAUUCAGAAUGAAAGGAUGCAGUAAGGCGCAGUAGCUUAAAAGCAAUGCAGGCAAGAUUGAGAGCAAGAAGCAUAGCAGAAAAGGAGAGGAGGAAGUAGGAAGUCAAGAAAGAACAAGCAGUAGAAUUCAUUAAGCCAGGUUUCUUUGGGUUCUAUGACUUGCAAUGAGAUUAUCUCCUGUUUGCUGACCAUUUUCUUAGGUAUUGUAUUAAAAGCAAGGAAGCAUAAACAUAAACAUAAACAUCUAGAUCCUGGGUCUAAUCAGAGCAAAAGUGCUUAGAAAAUACUGAAAUAAGAACAUUUCUACUCAAAAGGAAGCAACUAUUUUUGUAUGUUCUUUUAUAUAUGUAUCUGUAUGUAAAGUGAGUCCUAUAAUGCAGGGCAGUAGGAACCUUUCAAAUUUUGAGAUAUUGUGAUUCCAGCAGCAAACUUGCAAGAUAUUACUCAACAUCAAGGAACAUAUGCAAAUAUUUCAAGAUGUCUGAAGACAAGCCAUGAAAACAAAACAAAACAAUUGCUGAAUUCCAGAAACAAUACUAUCUCAAAAGUACACAGAACAAGUAUUUGUAGAAAUGCAAUCUACAAUUAACCCAAUCAGCAUAAGAUUACUGUUUCAUAUAAAGAAGGACUGCAGAUGAUAAAUCACAGAAUGAACUGAAAGAAAAAUGAAAGUUUUAUGGCCUAAGGAAAACUGGUGAUAGGCAGGUAAUGAACCAGUCUACAGUGUCUAAGGCAGAGAAAAUCCAUGUAAAUGAAUUGUGGUGCUGCUCUGGCCUCAGUGGGAGACUGAUUGGGUUUCUUACACUCUGCCUGGCUCUACUCAGUUUGUGGGAAUGUUGUAACACUGAGACCUUGAGCACUGUCAAAAUCAGUUGAAAUUUUAAAGAAGGUUCCAAAGCUUAUUGCAAGAUUUAUACUGACAGAAUGUGCAACAGAGUAAAUUUUGCUUCCUUAGGAAGGGAGGCAAAACCUGCAGAAAAGCAAAAAGAGAUAGAUAGCCUGUUGAUUGCCACUAGAUUAAAGCUAAAUGCAGUUUACAUUUGUGCUGCAAAUUAGAUUUGCUUUUUGGAUGGCAGAACAUGACUUGCCUAAUUUGGACUAUAAGUCCGAAAUAAAGGACACAUUCAUCAAAAUAAAGUCAAUGACAGUAACCUAAAGGUACAAAUGGGAAGUCCAAUGCACAACACAAUUAACUAAAGGUACAAAUUGGGAGAUACAAAGCACAACACAGUUCUGGGUAAAAGAAAAUGUGCAGUAAAUGCGACAGACAAGAUUGUGACAGAAGGCUGCUCCUAUUUCAGUGCUCAAAAUCCACAAAUGUUUAAGGAAGAUAUGCAUUAAAAGAUCAGGAAUCAGAAGAUUAAUAAGUGAUUACAUAAAUAGUAUUCAGUAUAUUAUUCAGUGUGCUCCCAUAAAUACUAUCCAGCAAUAAAAGAGAGCAGUUAUAUCCAUGUAAAUACAUUUCAGCAACCUCCAUACAAGUUGAAUAUGGAUGGCAAUGACAAAUAAUCCCAAGGGAUCAAACCUCAAACAGAGAAUAAAUCCCUGUAAUGAGCAGGACUGAUCUGCUCUGACGCUGACCUACUGGGUUUCUUUUCCAGAUUUUGACAGUACUUGAGUGAAUGAAAUUUUUGCUAAUGAAACUGAACUGAACUGAGGUUGGCAGAGGAUAUUUUUGCACAGGAUAUUUUGUCAAACAUGACUCUUGUUAAAACUUCUUAUCCCACAAGUUCUACAAAUUGUAUUUUUUAAUGUGUUAAAGAAAAAGUUGGUGAGCAAAUCAUAAUUUUACAUUCAUCAGCUUGGCAAUCUUUUCUGUUAUUUCCUUCAAGCUAACUUUGUAUGUGAUAUUUAAUUGGCCACUCAAAGGAUAUUGUCCAAGCACCAUGCCAGCUGCCUCUCAGGUGAAUUAAUUCGGUCAUUUACUUUGCCUAUAACAUAUGUCCUUGAACUACUGCAGAGUUAAUAGUCAUACAGUAUUAAGCAGUAUAAAUAUUAGAGAAUGGUUCUGAAAACCAUAUGAAUUUGGUCUUAUGACUAGUCUGGUAAACAUUUUUGUCUUACAGUUUUUACUGUUCCAUAGACUAUGUAGCACAGACUUCAUCAGACAGCUAGUGAGUUCAGUGUGUUAUGUGCAAAGGAAUGAUGUACAGCCCAUACAGGAUUGUGGUAGCCCUGGGCUAUUGCACAGCAAAAGAAUAGUUGGAUUCUGUUAAUUCAUUAUUGAUGUUAACUCAUUCUGUGCUAUAAGCAUUGCGAUAGGGUAAACUCACUAUUUAUAUUUUUUAAAAGAGGAAAAGAGCAAGAGAAAAAUUUACAAGCCUGACAGUUUACCUUUGGUCCCCGCAGAUAAUUAAGCAAGCAGUGAAAGACACCAUUAUUAAGCAUUUAAAAGAUAAAGGGGAUAUGUAAAAGCCAACUUAUACCUCCUGAGUACUAAUAUUAACAGGUCACCUAAUUUCCUUCUAAAUGAGCAAUAGGCCUCAAGAAACCAAGAAGUGGAGUCUAGCAGGAUUUCAGGAAGGCUUUUGGUGUUUUUCUAUGUGGGAUUCUCAUUCAUAGGCAAGAUAAUGUGAUUAGAAAACCAAGUGCAAAGAGAAUUUAUCAGUGGUUUGCUAUCAAACUAGAAAGCAUUGAAUAAAAAUUCUUAAAGCAUUGAAUACCAUUAAAUAUGUUUAUUCAUAACUAGGUAUGUUUAUUCAAUUUAUAGAUUAUUUCAAGUUGAAGGAUCUGCAAGCAUACAGAAGGCCAGCAUGAGAAUUGAAAAUUAAUAUUAUUAAUUCAAAGAGCAGUCCACAAGAAGGACCACAGAAUCAUUGAAUGGGUCAUGUAUGAAGGGACCACAGUGGCUCAUCUGGUCCAACCUCCCUGGUCAAGCAGCUCAUCCCAGAUUAGCACAGGAUUGUGUUCAGACAGUUCUUGAAUAUAUUCAGUGAGGGGAGACUCCACAACCUCUCAGGGCAAUCUGUUCCAGUGGUGACAGUGGUCAAUAUCACCACACAGUAGAUAAGUUGUUCCUCAUGUUCAGGUGGAAUUCCUGUGCAUCAGUCCCUGCCCGUUGCCUGUUUUAUUGCUUGGCACCAUUCAGAAGAACCUGGCUCUGUCCUCUUGUCACUAGGCAUAUUUCAAGUUUGGAAAUAUGAAAUUCUGCUCUAAGAAUACUUUGGAAACUAAAAGAACAAAUGAGUUCCAAAAGUGACGGAUUGGUAGAUAAAGGAUGCAGCAAAAUCCAUUUGUAGCUCUAAAAUAUUAUGGCCUUCAGUCCAGGAAGCACUUUGACUGAGAAGACAUAACAGGUCUUGAUCCACUGAACAGACAGAUCCACUGAACAGAUGACAUUUAGCUGAGUGAUGCAGUUGACACUCCUGAAGGAUGGGAUGCCAUCCAGAGAGACCUGGGCAAGCUCCAGAAAUGAGUCCAUGUGAACCUUACAAGACUGAACAAGGGCAAGUGGAAGGUCCUGCAUGUAGGUCAGGGAAAACCUCUUUAUCAAUACAGGCUGGGGGUGGAAGGAUUGAGAACAACCCUGCUGAGAAGAACCUGGGGGUGCUGGUGGAUGAGAGGCCAGACAUGACCUGGCCGUGUGCACUUGCAGCACAGAAAGCCAGCUGGGUCCUGGGCUGCAUCAAAAGCAGCAUGGCCAGCAGGGAGAGGGAAGUGAUUCUGUCCCUCUGCUCUGGUGACACCACACCUGCAGGGCUGCAUCCAGCUGUGCAUGGGAAGAUAUGGACUUGUGGGAGGGAGGCCAGAGGAGGCUAUAAAACUGAACAGAGGGAUGGAACAACUCUGCUACAAUGAAGGACAUCAGGAAGAGCAUCAGGGAACACCUGCUGGAAGGCUGAGGGAAUGGAGGUUAUUCUGCCUGGAGAGAAGAUUCUGGGAAGAUAUUAUUGGAGCCUUUUAGUACUAAAAGGUGGCUUGAAAGAAAAACGGAGACAGACUUUUAAGUAUGGCCUGCGGCAAUUGGACAAGGGGAAAUUGUUUUAGACUAAAAGAGGGUUUAUUCAGAUACUUUAUACGAUGAAGCACUGGAACAGGUUGCCCAGAGAGAUGGUAGAGGCCCCAUUCCUAGAAACAUUCAAGGUCAGGUUGGACAGAGCUCUGAAUGACUUGACCUAUCUGAAGAUGCUGUAAGAUGGCUUACAGCAUGAGGUGUUAGACUAGAGGACCUUCAAAGGAUUCUUCCAACCCAAACCACAGUAUGAUUCUAUGGUUCUAUGUUUCUUUGAUUCUGAAUGAACAGAAUACUUGUUGGAGGAUAGUAAUGGUGAUACUCAGAACUCCAGAGGGAUGGAGGAAUGGAGGCAGAAAUCCUACCUCCUACCCACACUAGUUGGUAUAACCAGCUGGCACAAAGAGCUGUGCCUAUAGUAUAGGAAUGUACACUGGGAUCAAUGAAGUAGUUCUGAGUUACUCUCAGUAUGUGCACCAGGGGUGGAUUUCAGAGUGGAUUUUGAAGGAGAAAAUCCAAGGAGGGAGUGACACAGAGCAGGCUCUGCAACCCUUGCCUUUACUGCAUGAGCAUCCAUGCUGUACUAGUAGUCACAUAGCAGGAGCAGCAAAAAAGGAUUCACAGGAGCCAUUGUAACAGAGCUCAUAUGAUGGUGAAGAUCUGCACCAUUGACACUGCAGGUCAACGUGUACGGGCUGUAGUACAUAGUGUCUUCACAAUUAAAAGACAGCUGAUUGUGUAUUUGCAAACUACAGAUUUUUUUUUCUGCAUAAAUAUGUUAACUGACAUUUAUGCCAAACAUAUUACAUACUCAUGUCAAGAGAAUAGAACCCAUCUGUACUGCAGAGAUGUAAUUAGCAUUAAUUAAUAUGUUCACAUUGUCUGGUUGCUCAUAUAUUUUGCCCUGAAGUCAUAAAUGUGGCAUGGCAUUUAGUAAGGCAGUAUUCAUGAGUCUUCAUCUAAAUUCCAAACAUUUGGGGUUUGUGAUGCUUUUAGUGACCCCUGUUAUUAACUUUUUCUUAGCAUCUAUAGAAAGGGAGUUUUGUUCAUGGCAGUGUUUGAGAAAUUGCUGUUCCUGGUAAGAACUUGUUAUAGGCAAAAAAGUUUCUACAACAAUUGAUACUCUAGCAUAAAAAUAAACAGUUACUGUUAUCUUGUGGCAAAGUAAUGAAGAAACUUGAUUUUCAUAAACAUGAAGGAAUUAACAACAAAUGUUUGGGUAGGUUAUUAACAAGAUACAAUAAAAACUUGUCAUCUAAGCCAUUUGGUAAACAACAUGUAUAUAUUAAUUGAAAAGUUGGCAAAUGAUUGAGGAACAAAUGCACAUCAUUUACAGUAGCACUUUUUUUACCAUUUCUGAUUCAGCAGAGAUCCCCAAACUACUGAACCCACUUGCAUGCGCUAGUCAUGACCAAUAUGUAUUUGUGGAUAACAUGCUCCAAAAAUCUUUAUAGGCAUGUGAGAUUCUCUAUUACUAUUUUUUCUGUCUCUGCAAACCUCUCCUCUGCUUCUAGACAUUCUGAAUAUUGAUACAUAAAAACUGAGGGCUUUGGACUGAAUUUCUUAAUUGGAAAUCUUUUAAGUGAAUAUUAAUGUUGCUUCACAAGUCAUAAUAAAUGGAGUCACAUGUACAUCCUGCGUAGUUUACUGUAAUAUUUCCUUUAUCCUCCAUUUCUGAGGGCCUCU